rnacentral:rRNA from 1 species
GAUGAACGCUGGCGGCGUGCUUAACACAUGCAAGUCGAACGAAGCACUUUAACCUGAUUCUUCGGAUGAAGGUUUUUGUGCCUGAGUGGCGGACGGGUGAGUAACGCGUGGGUAACCUGCCUCAUACAGGGGGAUAACAGUUAGAAAUGACUGCUACUACCGCAUAAGACCACCGAGCCGCAUGGCUCGGUGGGAAAAACUCCGGUGGUAUUAUAUGGACCCGCGUCUGAUUAGGUAGUGGGUAGGGUAACGGCCUACCAAGCCAACGAUCAGUAGCCGACCUGAGAGGGUGACCGGCCACACUGGGACUGAGACACGGCCCAAACUCCUACGGGAGGCAGCAGUGGGGAAUAUUGCCAAAUGGGGGAAACCCUGAUGCAGCGACGCCGCGUGAGCGAAGAAGUAUUUCGGUAUGUAAAGCUCUAUCAGCAGGGAAGAAGAUGACGGUACCUGACGAAGAAGCACCGGCUAAAUACGUG